rnacentral:rRNA from 1 species
UACAGAGGUCUCAAGCGUUGUUCGGAUUCAUUGGGCGUAAAGGGUGCGUAGGCGGCUUUGCAAGUCGGGUGUGAAAUCCCCAGGCUUAACCUGGGAACUGCAUUCGAGACUGCAUUGCUAGAGUAUGGGAGAGGGAAGUGGAAUUUCAGGUGUAGCGGUGAAAUGCGUAGAUAUCUGAAGGAACAUCAGUGGCGAAAGCGACUUCCUGGACCAAUACUGACGCUCAUGUGCGAAAGCGUGGGGAGCAAACAGG